UACGAGUGGUGCAAGCGUUAUUCGGAAUCAUUGGGCGUAAAGGGCGCGUAGACGGUAUGUUAAGUCUGUUGUUAAAUUCCUUAGCUUAACUGAGGGUAUGCAGCGGAAACUGAUGUGCUAGAGGAUGGAAGAGAGAAGUGGAAUUCUCGGAGUAGCGGUAAAAUGCGUAGAUCUCGAGAGGAACACCAAUGGCGAAGGCAGCUUCUUGGUCCAUUUCUGACGUUUGAGGCGCGAAAGCGUGGGGAGCAAACAGG
rnacentral:rRNA from 1 species